AUUGAACGCUGGCGGAAUGCUUUACACAUGCAAGUCGAACGGUAGAGGGGGCAACCCCUUGAGAGUGGCGAACGGGUGAGUAAUAUAUCGGAACGUGCCCAGUCGUGGGGGAUAACGUAGUGAAAAUUACGCUAAUACCGCAUACGAUCUAAGGAUGAAAGCGGGGGAUCGCAAGACCUCGCGCGACUGGAGCGGCCGAUAUCAGAUUAGGUAGUUGGUAGGGUAAAGGCCUACCAAGCCAACGAUCUGUAGCUGGUCUGAGAGGACGACCAGCCACACUGGAACUGAGACACGGUCCAGACUCCUACGGGAGGCAGCAGUGGGGAAUUUUGGACAAUGGGCGAAAGCCUGAUCCAGCCAUUCCGCGUGCAGGAUGAAGGCCCUCGGGUUGUAAACUGCUUUUGUACAGAACGAAAAGGUCUCUAUUAAUACUAGGGGCUCAUGACGGUACUGUAAGAAUAAGCACCGGCUAACUACGUGCCAGCAGCCGCGGUAAUACGUAGGGUGCAAGCGUUAAUCGGAAUUACUGGGCGUAAAGCGUGCGCAGGCGGUUAUAUAAGUCAGAUGUGAAAUCCCCGGGCUCAACCUGGGAACUGCAUUUGAGACUGUAUAGCUAGAGUACGGUAGAGGGGGAUGGAAUUCCGCGUGUAGCAGUGAAAUGCGUAGAUAUGCGGAGGAACACCGAUGGCGAAGGC
rnacentral:rRNA from 1 species